UCCACUGUGAUUAGGCAAUGUUUUGGAAGAGGAGGAUGAAAUUGGAAGCAGCCAAUGAUGACAGCAUUUUGGAGUUGUUUUCUUAAUUGUAAUUAGGACUCUGAUGCAUUUGCUUUGAAGACAUAGCAAAUCUUCCCGUUUGUGGCAAAGAGGCAAAGGAAAAGCCAAGAGGGAAUCAGAGGAAAUAACUUCCAUCUAGAACAAAUUGCUGGAGAACUCUGCUGUCAAAAGGUCACAUUCUUUCUUUAGGCAAACCUGCACAGCUCUGCUGAGGUCAGAAGAAGGAGUAUGAGGAAGAGGAAAGCAUACCAAGGAAGUAAUCCUUCCUGUAUGACCUCUGGGUUCUGCUGCAUGACCCGAGUCUAUCUUCGAUGAAAGGAAGAGCUGGAAGGGAUAGCAUAGCACUCUCAUGCGUAAAACUUGAAGUCUCCUUCUUGCCCAUAUUAAAAACCAAGGUUGGGCAGAGUGUUUGGAGACUUAAAUGUGGCUUUUUGUUAGUGGAGAUCUCCUUGGUGUUGUGAAGAACUUUAAGUCCUGACCAAAGCAGAGCUGCAUUUAAACUGGUCCCACCUGCCCCAUGGGUGUACGUGCAAAUGGAAGUGAAGGAUGGCUGGCCUCAACAAAUGGGACUGCAGCAGGUGACUUCUUCCAUGAAGUCCUGGUGAAGAUCUGUUGUUGGGCAAAAAGGAAAAAAAAAAAAAGAAGAACAAACUGCCUGAAAUCCAGCACUAUUCAUGUGUGCAGCAUGGAUUGUUUUAAAAUGCUGUUUUUCUUCAAAUAUCACAUUCAUAAGGCCAAUUCUAAAUGGAUCGAGAUGACACUAAGAGGUUUGGCAUCAGGUCUACAGACUUACUCCAGUGACACAUGGCUUUCAUUUACAUGGUUAUCAAAGCCUAUUUCUUGA
rnacentral:lncRNA from 1 species